GACGGGGGAUGCAAGUGUUAUCCGGAAUCACUGGGCAUAAAGAGUCUGUAGGUGGUUUAAUAAGUCAACUGUUAAAUCUUGAGGCUCAACCUCAAAAUCUCAGUCGAAACUAUUAGACUAGAGUAUAGUAGGGGUAAAGGGAAUUUCCAGUGGAGCGGUGAAAUGCGUAGAGAUUGGAAAGAACACCGAUGGCGAAGGCACUUUACUGGGCUAUUACUAACACUCAGAGACGAAAGCUAGGGUAGCAAAUGGG
rnacentral:rRNA from 1 species